rnacentral:rRNA from 1 species
AGAGAGAGACAUGCGCGCAUAUCAAUAAGCGGAGGAAAAGAAACUAACUAGGAUUCCCUCAGUAACGGCGAGUGAAGCGGGAAGAGCUCAAAUUUGAAAUCUUCAAGGUUCUACCUUGACGAAUUGUAGUUUAAAGAAGUGUUUUCUGUUGGAGUUUUGGUAAAAGUUCUUUGGAAUAGGACAUCAUAGAGGGUGAGAAUCCCGUAUUUGACCAUUAUUUCCAACUUUGUGAUACACUUUCAAAGAGUCGGAUUGUUUGGGAAUGCAGUCCAAAAUGGGUGGUAAAUUUCAUCUAAAGCUAAAUAUUGGCGAGAGACCGAUAGCGAACAAGUACCGUGAGGGAAAGAUGAAAAGAACUUUGAAAAGAGAGUUAAACAGUACGUGAAAUUGUCAAAAGGGAAGCGUUUGACACCAGUGUUGUUUAGUUGAAAAUCAAUUCAAUAAUUUGGGAUUUUGAGUAGUAUUGACUUCAUCAGCUUUCUGCACUUUUUCUUGUCAUAUUAUUGAAUGCACUUUUCAGUUAACAAGUCAACAUCAAUUUCUUUUGUUGUAAAAGGGUAAUAGGAAGGUGGCUUACUCUUCGGCGUAAGUGUUUAUAGCCUUUGACCUCUGCAAUCGGAGAGAUUGAGGUCUGCAGCGUAGACUCUUCGGGGUUAGAUAGCACUUGUGCUAAGCUAUAGCCUUGUAUAGACAACUUGUUGACUAUGCUCAGUCAUGUAGCUUACUCGCUUAUGUCUAUUUUACCUACGCUUAGGAUGUUGACAGCAGUAUAGACUGU